rnacentral:lncRNA from 1 species
UUGUUUAAAUAGAGAACUACUUCUCGUGUUGGGUCAGUCCUAGCACAUGUCUCCACAUGUGCCCACAUUAUUAGUUCAACAUCUCCAUGUCCAUGACUUGUGAAACAUAGUCAUUCACUAAUACAUGUGCUAGUCUAAUAUUCAUGUGUGUCCUCACAUAAACUCCGACUAGGGACAACUUUAGAAUAACCAUACAAGUAAAGAGUUUCACACACAAUUCACAUAAUUGCAAAUCAAUUCAAGUAGCCUUUAAUGGAUAUUCAAGGAACACAAUAUAAAUCAUGGAUACAAAUGGAAUAUCAUCAUCUCUAUGAUUGGCUCUAGGGCAUACCUCCAACAGUCUCCCACUUGCACUAGAGUCAAUCUAGAAGGUACCUAAUACCCAUAGCUCUUACAUGCGCAUCAUGCUUAGCCUGCUGGAGUGGUUUUGUCGAGGGAUCAGAAAUGUUCAGAUCCAUGUGUAUUUUGCAUAUCUUGAUCUCACCCCG